UAAACAUUGAACAAAGCAGUCGUAGCGGACGCAGCUUAUAAAUAUGGGAGCUAGCCACAAUCUCUGCAUUCACCAGCUAAUGCGAAGUAGUUCAGCCUUCAGUGUCCCUCGGAUGCACAGUCGGUUGUCUCCUGGGGUUCCCUCCAAACACUUCAGCAGCUCGGGACCUCAUCUUUCGCAUGAGCAAUGCAAAGACCUCUGCCAUGGCCUAGCUCGUGAAGUGUUUGGGGGAACUCUAGUUGGCACCCGGCAUUUUAUCCAACGGAAAAUAAGAUGUGCAUGGCAUGUAAAGACCUACCAUCCGGUGCCGAUCCAUUGCCUGAAGAGGAUGAAAGAAAUGAACGCCGAGAACACGGUCUGGAACGGGCUGAACAUCGACACCAGGACAGGGCCCUUGCGACCGAUGCUCGACACCUGGAACGUCGUGCACAGGCCGAUCACACCGCCUCCCUGCAGCAGCAUUGGCAGCCAGCAGGUUCAGUUUCCGGAGCAAUGCAGGUCAUAUACAGAAAUCAUGAGUGAGAUGCACCGUACAUACCACAAGCACGAUUUCACCGACGAUUCUCGGGACGUUCUCCGCCGUGCCUGAGCUGAGCUUUCCCUCCAUGAUGACCUGGAUCAUAGCGCUGAAGAUUGACCCCAUCAUGGCAGUGAUCACACAGAUCGACAACGGCGCAGGGAACCUCUUCAAGGUUGCAGCCUGCACUCGCACAUCAGGUUCAGGUGAUGCCAAUUCACCAUAGCAACAAAGUUACUGAACUAUGACUAGUGCCUUAUCAGUGUGCCAGGAGUUUGUACCUGCAGGACAGUGUUGCAAGCGAAGACCGUGACUCCAGCGAGCAGGUAUAGGCAGCCUAGGAUCCACUCUAUGUCGAUUUUGAUGUUGGAGAACGCUCCGUCGUCCCCAGGAACGGACUUGGGUGCUGUUACGGGGUCGGGACUCUUUAAGAAGCUCACGCACAUUGCUCCACUGAGGCACACCAACGUGCCCAAGAUCUUUGCUCUGGUGUACCUGCACUUCCACUCAAACCUCUCGAACCUGCAUAGGAGCAUCAUGAAUUUCCAGCUGCUUGCUCAGUCUGAGACUCUGAAUGCUAACAACGUGGGUUUCUGUCUUCACUUAAGACUUGGUUUCUUACCUCAGGCUGGCGGCGAUGACAAAGAUGAAACCAGGACCGAGAUUGGGCAUGGCAGAGGCUAUCGCCGGUGAGGUCCGUUCGACACCGAGCAUCAUUAAGACUUGACGAAAGGGAUAUAUAUGGAUUGGAUAUUUGUCUCUCACCCUCCAAGGGAGAUUAAGACGAGCUGGAUAACCAGUACGGGGCUCCAGCUCUUGGGCCAUUUCUUCCUCUCGACGGCCACGGCGAAGGGGAGGACGACGACGGAGGAGGCCGCGCAGGCUACAACGAUGACGAAGAGCGAGGGGACGCCGGCGGCGAGCAGCCGGUUGAGGAACAUCAUGUACAGGCCGAAGAUGCACUGCACCGCGAACAGCCCGCAGAUGGUCAGCACAUCGCCCAACGACACGCCGCUAAGCAUCAUCAUCUAUCACCGGUGGUCGAUCGAUUGAUCUCCACUGCCGGCCGGUUAUCCAUAUGGUCUCUUAUUGGGUUCAGCUUUGUGCCCUCCUCUCUCCGAAGAGGCAGCGAGAUGUCAUGGCUUCUAGAUGCACACGGUUCUGAUGGUCGCUCAGAAUAUCUUGUGUCAGACUGAUUGGCGACAUACUAGAAGGCUAUGUUGAUGUGUAGUCAUAGUAUGUGGUAUUUCCGAUGAUUGAUUUUUGUAUCAAUCACUUUUUUUAAUAAAUGGUCGUGUGCAUCAUGACGCAGAAACCGGGGUAUUUUCCCAUUUCAAAAAAAAGUUAAGAUACAUUUGUAUGUAAAUAAAUGUGCGACAAGUAAUUCUAUAGGUACCAUAGCAAACAUAUUCGUCCGUCUGAAACUGCUCAAAAUCGGAAUGGGGCACCAGAAGAGAAGUGAGAACUUUCUUUCGCAAAUGUGAUCAACUUGGCCACCGGAUUGGGACUGUCAGACUCCUCGGAAAUGGUGUUCCAUGCGCCGGAGCCGGUCAGCAGCCGGGUGAUGAGGUGACACGUGUGUGCGAGAUGGUUUCACCCUGGUGCCUUCAGCCUACGUGGCGGCAACCACGUCGUCGCUGCAUGCACGGCCGCACGUAGCCGACUUCGGCCGCCGCUGCCGGGUGCCUCUCAUCACUCAUCAGCGCCUAAAUAAUCAGACGGGAAAGCAUGGGACCGAACACUGCACAUGCGGAUACGUGACACGUGUAGCCGACAUGGAAGUUACGCAUCCAGGAUAUUCUAGAGCGGAUAAGGUCUGUGGAGUGGUGACCA